GGCUCUCUAGUCUUCCUUCUCGACUAAAGAAUAUACAGCAGAACGGGAGUAAACCAUCAGCUAACCUCCAAAGUAUAAUGCUACUAAAGGGAAACUUGAAGGAACACCAAUGGAAAUGCAGCGAAAAUUAAACAGAGUGAUGGAAUAGGGUAAUCAGAACAGAAAAGAAAAAGAAGAUGAUGAUAAUGAUGAUACCAUGGUGACGAGUAAUAAACUGGAAGCCGCAAGUGGAGAUUAGGGUUUUCGAGAGUUUGUCUGAACCUUCAACCUCCCUGGACGUGCUAAAGCUCCGGUGGCAGAGGAUGUUGUAUUUUAUAUUUAGGGUUUUUAGAAUGAGGGCCAAUGUAAAAUAACAUCAUCGUCCUCCGAGUUUCCUUUAAUUGUGAAUUUGUCCCAAACUUUUGUUUUGUUAAUUAUUUUAGAUUUUUCGAAAGGAUAAUUAUUUUA